AUACGGAGGGUGCAAGCGUUACUCGGAAUCACUGGGCGUAAAGCGCGCGCAGGCGGCUAUUUAAGUUGGAUGUGAAAGCCUACGGCUCAACCGUAGAACUGCAUCCAAAACUAUUUAGCUAGAGUGUGGGAGAGGAAGAUGGAAUUAGUUGCGUAGGGGUAAAAUCCGUAGAGAUAACUAGGAAUACCAAAAGCGAAGGCAAUCUUCUGGAACACUACUGACGCUGAGGCGCGAAAGCGUGGGGAGCAAACAGGAUUAGAAACCCCAGUAGUCC
rnacentral:rRNA from 1 species